UCUGAUGUGGAGUCUACAGUUGCUAACUCGCGCAUUUCUCUCUCUUUCUCAUUCUUGAGUUCAAAUUUCAAAAUUAUUUUCAUUUGUCUUCUCUCUGUAUAUUCAAAACCUUCUCGUCUCUCUCUCUCGACCUCUCACUCCCCGACGAGCGAAGCUCUACUCCAACCCGCCAGCGAUCGAUUGUCUCUCUGACCAAGCUUCUCUGUCUCCCCUCGAUCCUCACUCCCGACGAUCGACACUGUCGCUUCUCACUUCUCGUCAGUCCCGCCGGACGGUGGAGGACUUGCUGUAUUCUCUCGACUCUCUCUCAGACUGCCAAUCGAGUAUGUAUCUUCUGUCGCCGACUGAGUGUCCAUUCCGAAGAGCGACCCGAACCUGCGAUUCCAACGUACAGAUUGCGGUGGUUUUAUUGGAUGAUGCUUGCCUACAAAUAUAGAGGUGACGGAGAAGUGCAAAUGAAAAAUAUGCCAACUAUCACCGAACAACUACGAUUUAUGAGCGAACAACUUCAAUUUCAGAGUGCAAAGAUGCUUAAAUUGGAAAAAGACAUAAAUUGAAGUUGGUGUCGUAUUUAUGGGUUUUUCAUCUUGUUUGUAAUUGGUGUUGUAUCAGUUAUGAAGACAUAAUAAUAUAUAUAAAUGUUAGAAUGUUGCUAUUUAGUUAUUCAUCUUGCUUGUAAUCGAAUGGUUAUGAAUGAAUGCUAUUUUGUUAGUUAUUCA